GCACUGGUGGCUGGGUGGUAGAAUUCUCGCCUCCCAUGCAGGAGAUUCAGGUUCAAUUCCUGGCCAAUGCA
rfam:Loxodonta africana unplaced genomic scaffold scaffold_39, whole genome shotgun sequence.